AGCUUAUUCACCAGUAACAACAUGCUGAUUUAACCACGCGGUAGCUUGCUAGUUAACAUAAAACCGAAACAUUGAAGCUUUUUAGACCAAUCUUGUGUAUAUUACUCUUUUUGUUUAGAACAAAAAUGUGUUUACGUUUUUACUACUAAUAAUAAUAAUAAUUUUAAACGUAAUUAGCUUGUUAAAUUUGCAAAUGUGUUAAAUUGAUACUGCCCUAAGCUAAUCGUCCGGAUCAUGAGGUCACUAACCUCGACGGAGAAAGAAGCUGUGAUGAAAGGAGAGGAAGAAUCUUUCAGAAUGAAAAAGGAGGAAGAGGAUGAUAUUACAGUGAAAGAGGUUGUCAAAAAGGAGGAUGCCAUAACAUCGGAAGAACAUUUUAGAGUAAAAGAGGAAGAGGAUGCUAUCUCAAUAAAAGAGAAGAAGGAAGACGUUUUGGGAGUGAAAAAGGAGGAGACUGAAUAUCAGAUUAAGACCAGAGAGAGACAUGACUAUUAUGGGGAGCCUCAACAACAGAAGAGUCUCUCCAGAUCAGAACACCAGAUGGACAACGCUAGCCCUUCCUCCCUCCCAGAGUCGUGCUCCCGGUAACAACUUACUGCUGGGUAUGAAGAGGUUGUCUGUGCUGCUGGUGGACUGCAGGAAAACAACGGGCUGAGUGGAACUGUGAGAGGAGAAGAAGAGAAGAAAGGAUCAGAUUUGACUCAACAAACAGGAAAACCAAACUUGGAGAAACCAGAAACGUCCAAACCAGCAAGACAACACCUCUGCUCCCACUGUGGAAAGAGUUUUAACCAGUUCGUUAGCAUGAGAAGACAUGAGAGAAUACACACAGGGGAGAAGCCACACCAUUGCACACAGUGUGGAAAGAGUUUUAACCAGUUAGGAAACAUGAAAUCUCACGAACGAAUACACACAGGGGAGAAGCCUUUCCAUUGCUCCCAGUGUGGAAAGAGUUUUGGAGAGUCAGGAAACCUGAAUGCCCACGAGCGAAUGCACACAGGGGAGAAGCCUUACCACUGCUCCCACUGCGGAAAGCGUUUUAACCAUUCAGGAAAGCUGAAAGAACACAUGAGACUGCACACAGAGGAGAACCCUUACAAAUGCUCAGACUGUGGGAAGACAUAUUACUCAUCAUGGUCACUUAAACGUCAUGUGAGAAUCCACAUGGGAGAAUAAUUACUUCUCUUAGCGUGUAGGUUUUUCACAUCACGUUGACUUAAAAUUCAUCAGAGAACAUACACAGUGCUCCCGUUGUCUUAUAUUGUUGACUGACAAUGUGUUUACCUGUCUUUACCAGAUGAAAUUAAAUGGUACAGGGUAUACUCAAACAUAUAUUUGUGUGUUUUUAUUAGAAAACAUGAAUUGAGUAUGUAAGUUUGAAUAUAGAGUAGUAUAUUAUUUUUUAAACUCUGACUGUGUGUGUUUAUCUGGGUGUGUCAUUCCUCCAGCACUACAGAUAAUCAAGUGAUAUUUGGAUGUGAUGCAUUUGUUCCAUUGUUGACAUUUGCAUUGUAGCCCACUGAUGAUUUAAUGAAAUGAAAAUGUUCAGACUCUGUAAUGGAAAAUGUUAGUUGUUUGUGUGUCCACAUAACUGAGUAUGUGACUAACCUUGUGAAACUGUCCUAUUAUAAGCUCCUGUUCUUGGGACUAUCAUCCUGUGUUGCAAACCAAUUUGCACCUGUGUCCUUGUAUGAAUAAAGUCCCUCCCAGGAACAGGAAACUAUAAAGAUAUGUGCUCAUCACCCGUCUCCACUGCGCUGUGUAACUCUGUUAUUCUCUCUGAGCUCAGAAAUAAAGAAUCUUGGUUUGA